rnacentral:rRNA from 1 species
AGCGAACGCUGGCGGCAGGCCUAACACAUGCAAGUCGAACGGAACCUUCGGGAUUAGUGGCGGACGGGUGAGUAACACGUGGGAACGUGCCCUUUGGUUCGGAACAACUCAGGGAAACUUGAGCUAAUACCGGAUGUGCCCUUCGGGGGAAAGAUUUAUCGCCAUUGGAGCGGCCCGCGUCUGAUUAGCUAGUUGGUGAGGUAACGGCCCACCAAGGCGACGAUCAGUAGCUGGUCUGAGAGGAUGAUCAGCCACACUGGGACUGAGACACGGCCCAGACUCCUACGGGAGGCAGCAGUGGGGAAUCUUGCGCAAUGGGCGAAAGCCUGACGCAGCCAUGCCGCGUGAAUGAUGAAGGUCUUAGGAUUGUAAAAUUCUUUCAGCGGGGACGAUAAUGACGGUACCCGCAGAAGAAGCUCCGGCUAACUUCGUG